UAAUAGAGUUUAUUGAAGAAAGCAAUGGUU
rnacentral:piRNA from 1 species